AGAGUGGCGGACGGGUGAGUAACGCGUGGGAAUCUACCCAGUAGUGGGGGACAACUACCGGAAACGGUAGCUAAUACCGCAUACGCCCUAUGGGGGAAAGGCUUCGGCCGCUAUUGGAUGAGCCCGCGUCAGAUUAGCUAGUUGGUAGGGUAAAGGCCUACCAAAGCAACGAUCUGUAGCUGGUCUGAGAGGACGAACAGCCACACUGGGACUGAGACACGGCCCAGACUCCUACGGGAGGCAGCAGUGGGGAAUAUUGGACAAUGGGCGAAAGCCUGAUCCAGCAAUGCCGCGUGUGUGAAGAAGGCCUGCGGGUUGUAAAGCACUUUCAGUUGGGAAGAUGAUGACGUUACCAACAGAAGAAGCACCGGCUAAAUCCGUGCCAGCAGCCGCGGUAAUACGGAUGGUGCGAGCGUUAAUCGGAAUUACUGGGCGUAAAGCGCGCGUAGGCGGCUAAGUCAGUCAGAAGUGAAAGCCCCGGGCUCAACCUGGGAAUUGCUUUUGAUACUGCUUAGCUAGAGUUUGGUAGAGGAUGGUGGAAUUCCAGGUGUAGCGGUGAAAUGCGUAGAUAUCUGGAGGAACAUCAGUGGCGAAGGCGACUGUCUGGACCAAAACUGACGCUGAGGUGCGAAAGCGUGGGUAGCAAACAGGAUUAGAUACCCUGGUAG
rnacentral:rRNA from 1 species